rnacentral:rRNA from 1 species
CCUACGGGAGGCAGCAGUCGAGAAUCAUUCACAAUGGGGGAAACCCUGAUGGUGCGACGCCGCGUGGGGGAAUGAAGGUCUUAGGAUUGUAAACCCCUGUCAUGUGGGAGCAAAUUAAAAAGAUAGUACCACAAGAGGCAGCGACUGCUAACGCGGUGCCAGCAGCCGCGGUAAUACAGAGGUAUCAAUCGUGGUUCGGAAUCACUGGGCGGAAGGCGUGCGUAGGCGGUUUCGGAAGUCGUGUGUGAAAGGCGCGGGCUCAACCCGCGGCCUGCACAUGAUACUGCGAGACUAGAGUAAUGGAGGGGGAACCGGAAUUCUCGGUGUAGCAGUGAAAUGCGUAGAUA